GUCAGCAUGUGUUCAUAUGACCUCCAAGACAGAGGAAGGAGAGGAUCUGAUUGUUGGUUUGAGACUCUCAGAGACAGUCAGGCUGACACUUCAUCACUCUGUAAAGCUAUCACCAUCCUGCAGGUCUGUCUCUGUCCUGUUACUGUUUUAUCAGCCUCUGCUGGCAGAAAGUGUCUCAUAACUUUUAUUCUUGCAGAAUCUGUCUGGACCUGAUGGCACCGGGGUCACUGAGAGAAGCACUUUUUCCAGAUUACUCCACUUUAGGGAGACUUUAUGACCAUGGAGC